GAACGAAACCUUUAGGGGUUGAGUGGCGGACGGGUGAGUAACGCGUGAGAAUCUGGCUUCAGGUCUGGGACAACCACUGGAAACGGUGGCUAAUACCGGAUGUGCCGAGAGGUGAAAGGUUAACUGCCUGAAGAUGAGCUCGCGUCUGAUUAGCUAGUUGGUGGUGUAAUGGACUACCAAGGCGACGAUCAGUAGCUGGUCUGAGAGGACGAUCAGCCACACUGGGACUGAGACACGGCCCAGACUCCUACGGGAGGCAGCAGUGGGGAAUUUUCCGCAAUGGGCGAAAGCCUGACGGAGCAAUACCGCGUGAGGGAGGAAGGCUCUUGGGUCGUAAACCUCUUUUCUCAGGGAAGAACACAAUGACGGUACCUGAGGAAUAAGCAUCGGCUAACUCCGUGCCAGCAGCCGCGGUAAUACGGAGGAUGCAAGCGUUAUCCGGAAUGAUUGGGCGUAAAGCGUCCGCAGGUGGCNAUGUAAGUCUGCUGUUAAAGCGUCUAGCUCAACUAGAUAAGAGCAGUGGAAACUACAGCGCUAGAGUGCGUUCGGGGCAGAGGGAAUUCCUGGUGUAGCGGUGAAAUGCGUAGAGAUCAGGAAGAACACCAGUGGCGAAGGCGCUCUGCUAGGCCGCAACUGACACUGAGGGACGAAAGCUAGGGGAGCGAAUGGGAUUAGAUACCCCAGUAGUCCUAGCCGUAAACGAUGGAUACUAGGCGUGGCUUGUAUCGACCCGAGCCGUGCCGUAGCUAACGCGUUAAGUAUCCCGCCUGGGGAGUACGCCGGCAACGGUGAAACUCAAAGGAAUUGACGGGGGCCC
rnacentral:rRNA from 1 species